rnacentral:lncRNA from 1 species
AUGGACUGCUUGGAGAGGUGGCUAAAAAGGCAGGGAUCUCUUUGGCACCGAAAGGAAGUAAAACUUUUGUUUUCUACACUUAAAAAUGAUAGGGGGCCAUAUUGAAGAUGACAACGGUCAGGAGUAUAUAGGGUUCCUAUCUAUAAUAAGACUAGGUUAGUGAGAAGAGUAUAUUGGGGUAAUGACUAGAAAAAACUCUUGCAAUGGAUUAAUGAUCUUCAGUAAGAUAUUAUGAAUGCCUGUUUAAAUAUAUCUCUGGCUAAAAGGUUUUAUGAAUACAAUUUGGACAUAAAUUGGGAAGCAGAAAUCAUAAGGACAGAUUUUAAGCAGAAGCACACAUGUCUACAAGAAUCAUUAGUUGUGGCAGAAAGGAGACUACAUAUGUAUGCCAUAAAUGAACAGGCUAGCACGUCAUUCUCUGAUGUGUGGAAUUAUGGAAUUACUCAUAAGUUAUGAACCAUUAAUAUUAGAUUUAUCGUUAUUUUUGUCAAUAUUUCC